AUUGAACGCUGGCGGAAUGCUUUACACAUGCAAGUCGAACGGCAGCACGGGGCAACCUGGUGGCGAGUGGCGAACGGGUGAGUAAUAUAUCGGAACGUGCCCAAUCGUGGGGGAUAACGUAGCGAAAGUUACGCUAAUACCGCAUACGAUCUACGGGUGAAAGCGGGGGAUCGCAAGACCUCGCGCGAAUGGAGCGGCCGAUAUCAGAUUAGGUAGUUGGUGGGGUAAAGGCUCACCAAGCCAACGAUCUGUAGCUGGUCUGAGAGGACGACCAGCCACACUGGAACUGAGACACGGUCCAGACUCCUACGGGAGGCAGCAGUGGGGAAUUUUGGACAAUGGGCGCAAGCCUGAUCCAGCCAUUCCGCGUGCAGGAUGAA
rnacentral:rRNA from 1 species